UACAGAGGGUGCGAGCGUUAAUCGGAAUUACUGGGCGUAAAGCGUGCGUAGACGGUUAUUUAAGUCAGACGUGAAAUCCCCAGGCUCAACCUGGGAACUGCGUCUGAUACUGGAUGGCUUGAAUCCGGGAGAGGGAUGCAGAAUUCCAGGUGUAGCGGUGAAAUGCGUAGAUAUCUGGAGGAAUACCGGUGGCGAAGGCGGCAUCCUGGACCGGCAUUGACGCUGAGGAGCGAAAGCCAGGGGAGCAAACGGG
rnacentral:rRNA from 1 species